CCUCCUGAAUCAUCGGGCCUCAUAGAGGAAACUUUAUGAGUGAAUGUGGUCAAAUUCAAGGAAGCCUAAGUCUAUCAAUAGAUAAGGUAAUCUUGAGCCAAGCUCUACUUCCCUGGUAGAGAAGGUGCAGAGACUGGUUGUAGGGAGAAAGGGAUUUUGGGUUCAUCAGUGGUAUGGUCCCCUACAACAUAACGGCCACCACCUACGGGAAAACCUCCUAUGGUGAAGGAAUAGUCCAGAGAGUGGGGAAACUCACAC
rnacentral:ncRNA from 1 species